UAUUUCUAGCCAACUAGCCUCAAACGCAACUCCAACAGCCAAAAUUAAUACCCCCUAACGCACGACACUCCACCAACCAAACCAUUUUUCCUCUUUAGUACGGGAGACAGAAAAAGAAUAAAGCGCAAUAGACCAAGUACCGCAAGGGAAAGUUGAAAGAGAAAUGAAAUAACCCAAAAAAGAAGCCAUAAAAGCAGAGAUUAACCCUCGUACCUUUUGCAUCAUGAGCUAGCAAGAAAAUGCAUGCAAAAAGAGUUAAAGUAUGCCCCCCGAAACUAAGCGAGCUACUCCAAGACAGCCUAAAAGAGCAAACCCGUCUCUGUGGCAAAAGAGUGGGAAGAUCUUCGAGUAGCGGCGAAAAACCUACCGAGCUUAGUGAUAGCUGGUUGCCCGGGAAAAGAAUAUUAGUUCUGCCUUUUCACUUAUCCUCUUAACCCCUGCCCAACAGCAAAAGUAAAAAUAGAAUAAGAGUAAAGAGUUAUUCAACAGAGGUACAGCUCUUUUGAACAAAGAAACAACUUUUUUAGCUGGUCAAAGAAUAACCACAAAGGGCUCCCCACACGUGGGCCUAAAAGCAGCCACCACAAAAGAUAGCGUUAAAGCUCUAACCCCAAACCUCCCUCCUAUUACAAUAAAUUGCUCUAAGACCCCUAAAACCUACCUGGCCCUCCUGUGCCCGCACAGAAGAGAUUAUGCUAGCAUGAGUAAUAUGAGAGCCAAGCCUCUCUCCUCACAGACCCUUAAAUCACAACUAACACCCAAUGAAAAUUAACGCCUCCACCCCCAAGAGGAGACUGAGCAGCAGAUCAACACCCAGAAAAACACUCAACACAACAGCGUUAACCCAACACAGGCCUGUGCCAGGAAAGACAUAAAGAAAGAGAAGGAACUCGGCAAACACUUUGCCCCGCCUGUUUACCAAAAACACCGCCUCUUGACUAACCUAUAUAAGAGGUCCUGCCUGCCCUGUGACUAAUGUUCAACGGCCGCGGUAUUUUGACCGUGCAAAGGUAGCGCAAUCACUUGUCUUUUAAAUGAAGACCUGUAUGAAUGGCACAACGAGGGCCAACCUGUCUCCUCUUUCCAGUCAAUGAAAUUAAUCUUUCCGUGCAGAAGCGGAAAUGCCCCAGUAAGACGAGAAGACCCUGUGGAGCUUAAGGUUAUAAGAUGGAGCCUGCCAAUGACCCCCACAGAGAAAAAGCAUAAGGACCCCCACUUUACCCCUUUGGUUGGGGCGACCGCGGAGAAUAAUAAAACCUCCACACGGAAUAAAAACCACAUUAAGCGCAGGGCUUCAACCCUACGCCGCAGAAAAUCUGACCCUUAGAUCCGGAACUACCGAUCAAUGGACCGAGUUACCCCAGGGAUAACAGCGCAAUCCCCUUUCAGAGCUCAUAUCGACAAGGGGGUUUACGACCUCGAUGUUGGAUCAGGACCCCCUAAUGGUGCAGCCGCUAUUAAGGGUUUGUUUGUUCAACAAUUAAAGUCCUACGUGAUCUGAGUUCAGACCGGAGUAAUCCAGGUCAGUUUCUAUCUACUUAGCGUCUUUUUCCAGUACGAAAGGACCGAAAAAGAGAGGCCUAUUUUUAAUAUAUGCCUCACCCCCACCCUCUGCCCCCCACUAAAGAGGGCAAGCGGGAGCUUAUCCCACCCCUAGAGUUAGGGGAA
rnacentral:rRNA from 1 species